UACGGGGGGAGCAAGCGUUGUUCGGAUUUACUGGGCGUAAAGGGCGCGUAGGCGGCCACCGCAAGUCAGUUGUGAAAUCUCUGGGCUUAACCCAGAAAGGUCAACUGAUACUGCGGGGCUAGAGUGCAGAAGGGGCAACUGGAAUUCUCGGUGUAGCGGUGAAAUGCGUAGAUAUCGAGAGGAACACCUGCGGCGAAGGCGGGUUGCUGGGCUGACACUGACGCUGAAGCGCGAAAACUAGGGGAGCGAACGGG
rnacentral:rRNA from 1 species